UUUCACUCUCUUGUCAAGUUUUUUCUGACUUAUCUACAACAAAUCAUUUAUACUUUUUUCUUUAUUUCUUCUUCAAACAAAAGUUAUAGAUGAGCAAAAUCACCAACAUACAAAUUUCUAUUUUUUGAACUCGCACGAUUUUAGCAUUGAAUUUGAAGCAUAUUUUGCACUGUUAAACCGAAGUACGUAGAAGAUCAAACGCCUACACACAUGUCACGUCUUACGAGGAAAGUGCUGACGAACCAGAAGAAUAUGGCUUUGUUAAAAUUUUUUGUCCGUCCCAUUGCCUGCACAGCGGGGAAGCAAGGAUACAUAAAAUCGCAAAAUUUGAGACUACGCUACAUGUUCAAGGACUUAGAAGAGGAACAAAAUCAAAUUAAAGCCAAGUUUCCGUUAAACUACAGAGAGGCGCAUAUAGUAAAAGUGAAGGCCCGCAAAUUUCCUUUCUACAGCUCGCGUUAGUGGCGUAAGCUUACACAAAGCAGAUCAUUGUCAUAAGAAAUUGUGUCAUUUAGUAGAUAAAUUUUUAUGUAAAAAAAUUUUGAGAGGUUAGUUUUUUAAGUGUUUGCAUAGUGAAGAUGAGUGAGUGUCGUCAUGUGGAAACACUUAAAAGCUUGAUCAAUAAAUAAACUUAUUCUGUGCAUUUUAAAAUUGUUUACUGCCGAGUGAAUUAAUGCAAAGAGGCGAUGGAUAUUCUUUUGUUCUAGAAUACUGAUCUACAGUUUUCCUUGGUAUUCAUGAAUCAUUUGACAAGGUCUGGCCCUUAAGCCUAUUAUAUAAGUUAAGGGCAAAACUGUGCCUUACUGUCUGUUGCUAAAAUCAUACUGACGUAACCUGACCAUACGUAAGUUGUCGUGAUGCUGA